AGCGGCGGAUGGGUGAGUAACACGUGGGGGACCUGCCCCUAAGUCUGGGAUACCAUUUGGAAACAGGUGCUAAUACCGGAUAAUAAAGCAGAUCGCAUGAUCAGCUUUUGAAAGGCGGCGUAAGCUGUCGCUAAGGGAUGGCCCCGCGGUACAUUAGCUAGUUGGUAAGGUAACGGCUUACCAAGGCGACGAUGCAUAGCCGAGUUGAGAGACUGAUCGGCCACAUUGGGACUGAGACACGGCCCAAACUCCUACGGGAGGCAGCAGUAGGGAAUCUUCCACAAUGGACGCAAGUCUGAUGGAGCAACGCCGCGUGAGUGAAGAAGGUUUUCGGAUCGUAAAGCUCUGUUGUUGGUGAAGAAGGAUAGAGGUAGUAACUGGCCUUUAUUUGACGGUAAUCAACCGGAAAGUCACGGCUAACUACGUGCCAGCAGCCGCGGUAAUACGUAGGUGGCAAGCGUUGUCCGGAUUUAUUGGGCGUAAAGCGAGCGCAGGCGGAAAAAUAAGUCUAAUGUGAAAGCCCUCGGCUUAACCGAGGAACUGCAUCGGAAACUGUUUUUCUUGAGUGCAGAAGAGGAGAGUGGAACUCCAUGUGUAGCGGUGGAAUGCGUAGAUAUAUGGAAGAACACCAGUGGCGAAGGCGGCUCUCUGGUCUGCAACUGACGCUGAGGCUCGAAAGCAUGGGUAGCGAACAGGAUUAGAUACCCUGGUAGUCCAUGCCGUAAACGAUGAGUGCUAAGUGU
rnacentral:rRNA from 1 species